rnacentral:misc_RNA from 1 species
GAUGAAGAACGCAGCGAAAUGCGAUACGUAAUGUGAAUUGCAGAAUUCAGUGAAUCAUCGAGUCUUUGAACGCACAUUGCGCCCCCUGGUAUUCCGGGGGGCAUGCCUGUCCGAGCGUCAUUGCUGCCCUCAAGCACGGCUUGUGUGUUGGGCCUCCGUCCUCCUCCCGGGGGACGGGCCCGAAAGGCAGCGGCGGCACCGCGUCCGGUCCUCGAGCGUAUGGGGCUUCGUCACCCGCUCUUGUAGGCCCGGCCGGCGCUUGCCGACACAUCAAUCUUUUUUCCAGGUUGACCUCGGAUCAGGUAGGGAUACCAGCUGAACUUAAGCAUAUCAAUAAGCGGAGGA